GGAAAAAGUUUUUCCUCCAAGGAAAAUUUGAAGCUGCAAAUUUCCUCACAGGAAAAAGUAUUUCCUCAAGGAAAAUUUGAAGCAGCAAAUUUCCUCAAAGGAAAAUUUGAAGCCGCAAAUUUCCUCAAAGGAAAAAGAAGUUCCUCAAAGGAAAUAGAAUUUCCUCUAAGGAAAUAGAAUUUCCUCAAAGGAAAUGUUUAUGCAGCAAAUUCCCUAAGGGAAAUCUUUUUCCCUUGAGGAAAAAACAAUUUCCCUUGAGGAAAAAUCUUUUUCCUUUAGGGAAAUUUGAUUUCCCUUGAGGAAAACUACUUUUCCUCUGAGGAAAUUGUUGAAAAAAGGGGCAUAACUUUUUCAACAGUGGUGCUAGAGCAAAAAAAUUUUAGGACAAAUAUCAGGGAACCAAUACCAACC
rnacentral:lncRNA from 1 species